GUAUCUUCUUAGACCAAGUCUAGAAACAGUCUUAGGACAAUAACAAUUCCAUUCUAGAAAGAAUCUCCCAACAUUUCUUCUAUCUCAACCUCAACUGCAUCUGCCUGUGAACUUCCAGCUUACCAAGGCUCUAUAUCUUCUGGCAGUGACAAAGGCUCCUUCCAUGAUAUGUAUUCAUUUCCUACCACUGUAGUGGAAGAGAGACUAUCCCUGUCUUUACACCCGGUAGCAUUUCCAACAGUAAGCUGUGAGAUUCUGCUUGAAAUCACCUCUCAAACAAAUAAAAAACAGACCUGGGAAAUGUGCUACACUCAUUCUGCUGAAGAAAUUGGGCAAGAAUGUUUUCUAAGACCGCGAACUCCAGAUUUGCGAUGUGGCAAAUCCUGAAGCGUACAUGGAUAUCUCU
rnacentral:lncRNA from 1 species